GUUGCUGGGAGCCUGCGCGCGGUCCUCUCUUUCUCUCUCUCUCUCUGGAAGACGCCAACGGUCAGGACGGCGGUGAUGUCUCUCUCUCGGUUCCUCUACGACCGCAGCCUCUGCCUGGGACACGGGGCAAACGUUCAUCUUUGGAGAUCUGGAUGCAGGUGAAGUCCCAUGAAAGGUGUUUGAUCUUGAAGCAUUGUGCCCUGGGCUCCCUAAAUGUAAAGCAUUCAUCUUUGGCGACACGGAUUCAAGUGAGGCUCGGUGAAAGGUAAAGCUUUCAUCUUUGGCAGCGUGGAUGCAAGUGAAGAUUGGUGAAAGGUGAUUUAUUUUGCUAUUGUAAAGCUUCCAUCUUCGGCAACAUGGAUGCAAGGGAAGUUGGUGAAAGCUGAAAACUGCCAUGGAAGCAAUAAAUUCCUUCGAUUGGUCUUAUGAAUAUGCUGAAAACUGAUAUGGAAGCAAUAUAUUCGUUGGAUUAGCCUUAAAGAUAUGUGAUCAUACAGGGAAACCUGGGUUGUCUCAAAAGGGAAUGUUGGCAGUGAUUGGAGCAGAAAUCUUCAAAUGGAUGUCUCAGGUUGAUCUAAUCAUGAAGACAUUUAGGAAUGCUGUAUGACAACAGCAGCAGCAAGGACUGCAUCCGGAGUGAAGUACAGAGAAUGAUAUGGAAACUAACUAUGGUGAUCGAAUGCCUUACAUCAGGUGGCUGUUAGGAUGGAAAAUCUGGGAUGGACACAGCAGAUUCUCUUUGUAAAACCAUUAGUUAAUGGUGUCUGGAUACUAUUAAAUAAAAAUUCUUAAAAAAAA